rnacentral:rRNA from 1 species
GAAGCAUAUCAAUAAGCGGAGGAAAAGAAACCAACAGGGAUUGCCCUAGUAACGGCGAGUGAAGCGGCAACAGCUCAAAUUUGAAAUCUGGCUCUUUUAGAGUCCGAGUUGUAAUUUGCAGAGGGCGCUUUGGCUUUGGCAGCGGUCCAAGUUCCUUGGAACAGGACGUCACAGAGGGUGAGAAUCCCGUACGUGGUCGCUGGCUAUUGCCGUGUAAAGCCCCUUCGACGAGUCGAGUUGUUUGGGAAUGCAGCUCUAAAUGGGAGGUACAUUUCUUCUAAAGCUAAAUAUUGGCCAGAGACCGAUAGCGCACAAGUAGAGUGAUCGAAAGAUGAAAAGCACUUUGGAAAGAGAGUCAAACAGCACGUGAAAUUGUUGAAAGGGAAGCGCUUGCAGCCAGACUUGCUUACAGUUGCUCAUCCGGGCUUUUGCCCGGUGCACUCUUCUGUAGGCAGGCCAGCAUCAGUUUGGGCGGUAGGAUAAAGGUCUCUGUCACGUACCUCUCUUCGGGGAGGCCUUAUAGGGGAGACGACAUACUACCAGCCUGGACUGAGGUCCGCGCAUCUGCUAGGAUGCUGGCGUAAUGGCUGUAAGCGGCCCGUCUUGAAACACGGACCAAGGAGUCUAACAUCUAUGCGAGUGUUUGGGUGUCAAGCCCGAGCGCGUAAUGAAAGUGAACGGAGGUAGGAACCCGCAAGGGUGCACUAUCGACCGAUCCUGAUGUCUUCGGAAGGAUUUGAGUAAGAGCAUGGCUGUUGGGACCCGAAAGAUGGUGAACUAUGCUUGAAUAGGGUGAAGCCAGAGGAAACUCUGGUGGAGGCUCGCAGCGGUUCUGACGUGCAAAUCGAUCGUCAAAUUUGGGCAUAGGGGCGAAAGACUAAUCGAACUAUCUAGUAGCUGGUUCCUGCCGAGU